CUGAAGUUUGCCAAUGAACAUCUGAAUGAUUCAGAGGAGAACUGGUUGAAAGUGUUGUGGUCAGAUGAGACCAAAAUCAAGCUCUUUGGUAUCAACUCAACUCGCCGUGUAUGGAGGAGGAGGAAUGCUGCCUAUGACCGUAAGAACACCAUCUCUACCAUCAAACAUGGAGAUGGAAACAUUAUGCUUUUGGGGUGUUUUUCUGCUAAGGGGGCAGGACAACUGCACCGCGUCAAAGAGACGAU